UACGAAGGGGCUAGCGUUGCUCGGAAUCACUGGGCGUAAAGGGUGCGUAGGCGGGUCUUUAAGUCAGGGGUGAAAUCCUGGAGCUCAACUCCAGAACUGCCUUUGAUACUGAGAUCUGAGUUCGGAGAGGUGAGUGGAACUGCGAGUGUAGAGGUGAAAUUCGUAGAUAUCGCAAGAACACCAGUGGCGAAGGCGGCUCACUGGCCCGAUCGUACGC
rnacentral:rRNA from 1 species